rnacentral:rRNA from 1 species
CCUACGGCGGGCUGCAGUGGGGAAUAUUGGACAAUGGGCGAAAGCCUGAUCCAGCCAUGCCGCGUGUGUGAAGAAGGCCUUCGGGUUGUAAAGCACUUUCAGUGGGGAAGAAAGCCUUGGGGCUAAUACCCUCGAGGAAGGACAUCACCCACAGAAGAAGCACCGGCUAACUCCGUGCCAGCAGCCGCGGUAAUACGGAGGGUGCGAGCGUUAAUCGGAAUUACUGGGCGUAAAGCGCGCGUAGGCGGUCUGAUAAGCCGGUUGUGAAAGCCCCGGGCUCAACCUGGGAACGGCAUCCGGAACUGUCAGGCUAGAGUGCAGGAGAGGAAGGUAGAAUUCCCGGUGUAGCGGUGAAAUGCGUAGAGAUCGGGAGGAAUACCAGUGGCGAAGGCGGUCUUCUGGACUGACACUGACGCUGAGGUGCGAAAGCGUGGGUAGCAAACAGGAUUAGAUACCCGAGUAGUC